AAAUUCAAGUUCUUUCUCUCCUCUUUUUAGAAAGAGUAAAAUUAUCUCAUGUUCUCUCAUCUCUAUCUUACACAGGAGAUGAAUUUUCAGAGGCUAGAGACUUUCUUUUGUUGUAAAAUAACUCUUCCAUUUUUAGAUCCAUUUUGUUCUUCUCAUUAGGUGAUUUUCUAUUCACAUUAGGCGAUUUCGUUUUUUUUGUUUGUUUUUGUUGUGUUUUUACUCCAUAUUUUUGAGCAGAAAUAAAUGGUAAAACAAUAAAGAAUUGAUGGAAUGAAAAAAAUUAAAAUGAUAGAAAUGAAAUACAGCAAAAAAUGGAAUGGAAUUCAUUUCAUUCAUUCAUAACCAAAAUUGUUUUGGGAUCAUUUCUCUUUGUAUUUAUUUUUUUUUUCUUUGUGGAAUUGAUUCCAUUUAUGUCAAAUGGUGAAUUUUCUUUUGGAAUUAAUGGAAUAAGGCAUUCCAGAUCAUUCCAUUCUAAAAAUUGACAAUCCAGUUGCUUGAUCUUAAAUAUGAGUUGAUUUAAACAAAAGUAUCCGAAUUUUAAUCGGAGAUCAGAGCUCUUCCCCUUAUGUUUCAAUUGAACAGAUUUCGCUUGAUCUUAAGAAUUUUUUUUUGGGUUUGUUAAAAAGAUUGGAUCUUGGUUAUUAAGAAUCAAUCUUCGCUUUAGCUACGUGGAGUGUCAGUAAAGAUCAAGUCUCUGCGUUUUGGAUUAUGCUUAGGUGAUUUGGAGAGGAGUCAGAAGAACUGGAGCUUCCUAUCGGCAUCGUUCUAACAAGGCUUUAUCUCGUUCACUCUAUAGCUAUUCCUUGAUCUUAACUCUAGCGACCGGAGGAGAUGUUCUAUCUGAUCGGCGGCGAGUGAAGGUUGGAGAGCAUGCAAGUAGAUUCAGGCGAAUCGACGUUGGAGAUUGACGGUUCAUUUGUAUAGCUUACCGGCGACCCUUCCUCUCACCUCGGUUAUGGAAACAACAAAGCCAAGCCACGGAGGCGGACACGUGGAUCACAUGCAUUCAUCAUUAUAUAUUUUUCAGUCUUCGUUUGGGCUUAAUUUGUUUUGCAUUUUAGCUUGAUCUGCUUAUAAAACAAUAUGCCUAUUGGGAUUUAAUACAAUAAGUUGACAACAAAUAAUAAUGGGAAAAUAGGCUUUAAAAUUUGUAAAAAAAUUAUGGGCUCUGCGUUUUAUGGGUAAUGCCCUCAUUACUGGCUAUGCACAAGAGAGUAGUAAGAAGGAAGAAAACUCAGAGCACCUUCAAUCAUCGAUUCUAAAUAGAACAUCUAAUCAUUUAAAUUAAUUAAUAAAAUAAUAAAAAAAUGAGAGAGAAGAAAGCAUGGCUCUAAUCUUAAAACUUUUUAGAACUUAAGAGCACAUCCAACAAUGAAAACUCCAAAGAGCUUCCAAAACAAAAAAAAACAUAUUAAUAUUUUAAUAAAUUAUAAUUAGAUAAUUAAAAGUUAUUUGUAAAACAAAAAUUCAACCAAUCUAUUGUUUACAAGUGUCAUAUCAAAUUUUAAUGGGGUUCUAAAAAAUCUAAACAUUAGAGCAGCAUUAACGCAGUAGCUUAGGAGGAGUGCUUAAUAAUUUUCGGACUAAAAAAAAAAAUAUAUUAAGCGAAGCGACGGUGCUUAAUUAAGCUGCACAAGAAACAUAUCUAAUGAGACACCUGUCAUUAGACGCGUCUUUCUCUCGCUCGACGAGUCAGUUUCUCUCUUUCUCUCCCUCGGCAACUCCGCUUCUUUCCUUCUCUCCCUCGGCGACUCA
rnacentral:lncRNA from 1 species